GGCUGAAGGUUCCGUUUGGCGGCGAGCUUGAGUUGCUGGAGAGACAUCGAAAUGGAGACGUCCAGCGGGCAGUUUGACAUUGGAUGUCUACAAACCUCCAGGCAGAUGCCCUGGUAAGAAACCCACUGGUAGAGAAGAAAGCGAAAGCCCCUUCCAUGUGUCGUCUUCUGGAACACUGCAGAGCAAGCACCGUGGUAUAAAUCACUCCAAAUUCAUCAGCUCUGGCGUACCAUCAAAGAAGAAGAAAGAUUUCUAAUGGGGCACAGUAGAAUUCACUUCCUUGUUACUUCCUG